rnacentral:lncRNA from 1 species
CUCGGAUUUCUAGCUAACAUUUUUCCUUUCCCACUUUUGCUUGCCUCAUUACAUUGCAAGUGCUUAAAAGCAGGCUCGCUCUCUGAAUUUAUGUAGAUGCAGUAUCUAGGAGACUGAUGUGGCUCUACAAUGUGUGGCAUAAUCAAUAAAAUUAAAGCAUAGAAGUAGCACUUCUUGAUCACUUAAGACAGGGGUUUGUUAUCAUAAGGAGGAAUAUGCUUGAAAAGAUUUCAGUGAAGACACUUGUACAAGCUCUGAUAUGUACUUGGGCUUUUGAAGUAGUGGGAAAAAGAUUUCAAGAUAACUUUUUAUGAUUUCAGAAAAAGAUACCUAGUUUUUUUGUUAUAUUCAUUGCAUGCUCAACAUGGAAAGCAGUUUCAUUAAUUCCUUUUGUUUUUUUACUUCAAGAGUGGCUACAUGCAAACUAUUUUUAAUCUUUCUUUUUCUUUUGAGUGUGUCCAUGAAGAUAACAAAGAGGAAGUUGUCACAUUAUCCACAACAUCUAGGGACGUGUGUAACUUUCUUUAUUAAAGUCAGUGGUAUAUAGCUAUGUGAGAAUGAGGUGGAGUGCAGGAGAGGAAGAGGAAUCAGCUGCUCUGCUC